UCAAAGCAAGUGUGUAAAUCUUACAUAAUUUGAGGGUUUGAGAUCUUGCAGCAACCUCUUACCCAACGAGGUGUCAGAUGAUCCAAGGAGGUCAGACCUGUAGCAGCCACAGUAAGUAGGACACUGCAUCUCACUCUGCCCAGCCCGGCACCAUUUGUCCACAGGGACCUGGGGCCAGGCAUUCUUGGGAAUUCACUUUCAGGAGGAGAACAGUGCCUUUCUUUACGUGUUAUCAUGCCAGAAAAGCUCUCUACUCUCAAAUGGAUGAAAGAUAAUAAAUACAUGAAUGCCCUUAGAGCCGGGAUCUGCUGGAGAUGUGUCUGAAUUAUUUUUUAUUUUUAAACUGUUUUAUAAGGUUCUCGUAUUUUUGCCCAGGUAUAAAACCAAUGAUUUCUGGACAUCUGCAGAGAACACCCCACAACCAUGGAAGAAAUGAGGAUACAGGCCUGAAAACCACUUCCCUCUCGUAAAAAGGAUUCUCUAAGAGAACACAUCGAAGCCCUCACCUCUCUCCCAAGCCCGUGAUUUUCCACUCAAGAGCCACACUGCCUUCUCUCCGAGCAGCAUUAGGAGCUGACUGCAAGGAUCUGCAGUGGGAUCCCUAAUCUCCUGCUAAGAAGCUUUUGCACUUAAACCUUUGAUGCCAUCAUUAGUGGUUUCGGCACUCGCGACGUCACAGCCAGACUGCGCUCGAUGCCAGGACGAAGAGGGCAAAGCUAAGAGCAUCAGGUACAUGGUUAAUUCAAUGGGUAAAGAUUAGGGGAUGAUACUAUUUUUUAUUUUUUCCCAAAUAAGGCUUAUUUACUACUAAUUCCCAUCCCUGUGACCUUAUUUGAGUACAACAUGUUCCACCUGAGAUUGUAAAGUUAACGCCCAAGUCGCAUCGCUACGCCUGGAGGAGACCUGCUCUCCCAGCCCUAAGGUUUUACAGGGAAGGUUCUCCUUUAUCCACACCUCUGGCAGAGGCACAAACAUCCUCUUUGGGGGAAAAAAAAACCAAAACCAAACCAAUAAAUCACUGUAUUUGCAAGUUUGAAGGGACGUGGUGUCUAGGCUCUAAGUGAAACAUGUAUGGCUGAGCCCACACAGUGGCUGGAUUUUUCCUUUCAUCACUGUAAUGACUGGUAUUUUUUUCAAGAAGCGUUCAAUACAGCUCUACUGCUAUUCACCCCUCCAUGUGAAUAUUCCUCAGAAAUUAUUAAACUGCCCUUUAUUCCAAAGGUCUGUGCAAGGGGGAUGCUUUCCCCCAGCUCUGGCGCCUGUGUCUCCAUCUGAGCUGACUCCACCAUCGCUGCAGAUAAGCAUUUCCAGGCUACGAUCCUCUAAUCUAUUUUAGCCAUGACUCACAUCCGACCAGUGUGUCUCCCAAAGAAAGGCGAAUCUGGACUGCUGGUGCAGAGGGAGGCAGCCACCACAGCCCACGGCACCACACGUUUCCCUGUUUUCCUUGGCUUUCUCGGGGCUGGUUUCCCCUUACUCUCCCAGCGUGCAGCAGGAAGAGAACACAUUUCUCUUCCUGCCUCCAGGAUCCCUCAGACUAAGCCUGGCUUUUGAGCAGUAACACGGGCAGCUUCAACUUCCCUGACCUCAGCUAAUUCUUUCCUUCCCUCAGCCUACUCAAGAUGAUUAAGCAAAAUACUUGGAAGGAAAUCAAAGCCUUAAAAAUGCAAUUAGAAGUGACCAUUUUGUUAAUAUGCAUACGCAUAACCCCAAAGUCAAACCCAAUCCAACAGCACCUGACCUUUGGGAAAACAGCAAUUUUUAGCAGCUCUCAUGGACUUAAGGAGCAGCCCAAAGUCUCCCACAAGGCUGGUGGGAGCAGUGCUGUCCACAUAGCUCAGGUUUUUCCCACUAUUCCUAAAAAAGGAGGUUAAGAAGACAUGAAAUUGCGAAUUCUCACACCAGAAACUGGCUCCCACAGACCUACAGCUGUCCAGGGGUGACUUAAAAAUAUAAUUUUUAACACACAUCCUUCCACACAACCAGCUCUUUCUCCCCCCACUGAGGAAAAGGCAAGUUCACUGGAGGGUCUAGAAUCAGUUGUCACAAAUUUUCAUAUUCUCCUUCUCCAGCAAAGAUUCUGAUCUCAUUGCAAGAAACCUUUAAAGCAUUGAAAUAAUAAUAAUAAUCUCUUUAACAACAAUAAAGUCAUUUGAAAUUAUCAAAAUAGCUAUCAUAGUAAUAAAACAGAAAUAUUUUUCUGGGGCAAUUUCCACUUCACCCAUCCAAAGCAUUAUAUAUUUUUAAGACUCCUUUCCUGCAAUUAAUUUGAAAUAUUUUUUUUCCUCUGCCUGUAAAGAAUCAAAUGCACUUUGAGAAGGCAGCAGUUGAGCUUCUGGGCCCUGACACAGAAACAAAGGCUGACAGCCCAGAUUUAGAUAAACACCUACUUCUGCACAUUUAGGAAGAGGCUUAAUUGCUUUGUCACUUAGAGCCAGCAAUUACCAACUAUUACUGGGAGUGCGGCGAUGGUGGGGGGUAUUAAUUGCAGCCAAAUGUCCACUCUUUUUGGGCAGCUCAUGCCAAGAAAAUUAAACACUAAAUAAAAAAGAAAUUAAACCCCCUCUUCGUUAUAACGUUUUAAAGUAUUUUAUUGUCUAUUUAUAUGUAAGGGGGGGAGGUGGGGAUGGGUUCUCCCAGAGGGGCCAACAAAGAUAGAAUUUCUAUUUUAUUUUGAAAUUGUGUCAAAUCACGGCAGAGAUGGCAUUAGGAUGUUGGGGCAGGCUCCAAAACUGCCCUUUUGGGGCGAUUUUUGGGGCCGAUUCCUCCAGCGAGGAAACCAGUGCUUAACUUCUAGAGCAAGAAGAGCAUUUAAGGUUUAAAACAAAUAAAUAAACAACCUUAAAUAGGUUGAGAGGAAAAGAGGGUGGUUCUCCCCACUCAGAGCCGGCUCUGACACAUGACACAGCCGCUGCUAUUUCAUUCCUCUGCGCUGUGUGAAGGGAAAACUUUCUCGCACGAGCGAGAGCUGCUCCACUGCUGAGGUGGGGGAGGGAUUCUAUAUAUUUUUUUUUUAAUUUAAAAGCCUUUUUUUUUUUUUUUUUUUUUUUUUUUUGUGGCAAUGGCGGUGUUUUUCCGCGGGGCUCGGGCGGCCCCGCCCGGGGGGCGGCGCGGCAGCCCCGGCCGGCUCCCGCCGGCUCAGACCGGUUCUCAGCGCAAACAACCGCCCCCCAGCCGCCGGGGCACCGCGGCGGCAAACCCGCACUUUUCCUCCAGAAACACCCGCUUUCCCCCCACAAAACAGCCGCUUCUCCCUCAGAAACACCCGCUCUCCCCGCCCCCCCCCAGAAACAACCGGGUGAGGCGACUCCGCGGCCGUGCCGCCAUUACAGCGGCGGGCGCGCUCCGCCGGCUGUGAGGCGAGAGAAAGCGGCGGGGUUUCGGAGCGAGAUAGAAAUCUUAUUAUGCAACGCACAUUUUUAAUAGAUUAUUGCCGAGUCCAGGGCUGAGGUAAUGCGGGCUGUCAGCAGCUGGGGCGAGAGGCUGAGGGACAAGCGGGCUGCGGCCGCUCCCUGCCAAGGGCGCCGAGGCACCAUUUCUUCACCAUCCGUGAGGAGAACUUUGAUAUAUUACGUUUGGGUUUUUUUUUUUCCUUUCCCCAGAAGGAUCUAUUUAUGUGAUUACACAUGCACAGAGAGAACAUUAAAGCAGCACAUGGGUUUAUGUGAACAAAAGCCUGCUCAACCCUGUCGUUCUACCAGAAGAGAUUAAAAAUUUUCAGCUCGUCUCAACAAUACCAAAUCACAGGCAUCUCCAAACCCACUCAAAAUCCCAAAUCCCAGCUAAAUCAGUGAUUCAUCACUUCUGGCAGCAACCGACACGGGAAGGAGGAGAUGAAGACAAUGGUAGAGAAAGGUGGGAAAUGAACAAUCUUACACUAAGAAGACUUCAAAACACAAAUUUCUCCUCAAAUCCACGCAGGAACCAUCCACAUCCACCAGCUUCCUCACCUCGGCAGGCAACUUCUGAGAGGCCACAAAACACCCCAAAUAAAGCCUGGCUUCAGAGAAUACUGGUUAUUUUGAAUGUGUUCUUUCUGGUUUUAGUUUCUAAAUUAUUCCUUGCAGCACCAUUACCUCCAAAGGCCUCCAAAUAGCAAUUUAAAGCCAAGUUUAGUGGUGAUCCAACACAACAAACUCUGAACCUUGACAAGAUAAAGGCGUUUGGGGGUUGUUUUUUAAUUUUUAAGCAAGCAGCAUUUCUUCAGUAUUGUCACAGAAAAUCAGCUCCAUUUAAUCAGCGCUAUGUACUUCACAUGUUCUUGAAAACCAGAAGCAAGGAAACCCAGACUUCUCCUUCACCACCUUUCUGCUUUUUCCCAGCUCCUGAAGGACAGUGCACAGCAUGAAGUUCCCACCAGAGCUGAACACCCACCAUGUGCCCUAAACACCCUCCAGGGCAGGGAACACAACUCUGCCAGCUGAGACCAAGAGGACCAGACCUGAGUGACCAAAUUCGUAAAUUUCAGAAGAAUGCAGUGUCAUAAAGACCUUAAUAAUACCAUGGCCUCUCAAAAUUGGCCAUUUCCACUUUUAAAAAAGCUGUAAGAGAAUCUCUGGCUUGCUGAAAUCCUCGAGACCAUGGAAACUGCAGGCAAUAAUUAUUCUCCAGACAAAAGAAACUGGAUAUAUCACACAGCAAGUGGGAGCACCAAACCAGGGAAAAGGGGGUGAGGCAGCUUUUGCUCACCAACAGCGUAUGAGGGGCUUAAUAUUUACAUGGCUACAUUUCAACUGUGUUGAAAAUCAAACACUUGUGCUUUGAAAGACUUCAAGGCCAGGUGGAGUUUUGCUUCCCAAAGUAAAGAGAGGGUUAAAUGCUUAUUAUUAUCUAGCUGAUUGCUAAGAAACAUGUAAAACUCUUUUCUGAUCCUUCAAAAUUAAAUAUACAAUCCACCAGAUUCUA